GAAAUGCGAUAAGUAAUGUGAAUUGCAGAAUUCAGUGAAUCAUCGAAUCUUUGAACGCACCUUGCGCUCCUUGGUAUUCCUUGGAGCAUGCCUGUUUGAGUAUCAUGAAAUCUUCAAAGUAAAUCUUUUGUUAACUCAAUUGGUUUCUACUUUGGUAUUGGAGGUCUUUGCAGCUUCACACCUGCUCCUCUUUGUUCAUUAGCUGGAUCUCAGUGUUAUGCUUGGUUCCACUCGGCGUGAUAAGUUAUCUAUCGCUGAGGACACUGUAAAAGGUGGCCAAGGUAAAUGCAGAUGAACCGCUUCUAAUAGUCCAUUGACUUGGACAAUACUCUUAUGAUCUGAUCUCAAAUCAGGUAGGACUACCCGCUGAACUUAAGC
rnacentral:misc_RNA from 1 species